rnacentral:lncRNA from 1 species
CCUAGACUUAUUGUUGUUUUUAUUCCAAUUACCCUCCUCCAAGGAGUACUACUACCUACCUAAUAGUAAUAAUGCAAAACUAAAAAUCAAAGGAGUUAAGUCCAUUGAAACCAAAUCCUCCUUACUACAUGUAGUACCAGAAAGUCUAGCAAGAAAUUGGAGCACCAAACAAACAACAACAUUAGUCUAUUCAUUUCACCACCAACCUACCUAGCUACUUUUACCUAAAAAACACUAGUGCAUAAUAUAUUUCUCUAAAUGGUACUCCAAAUUUCACCUCAUAUAUCAAACCAAAAAAAAAAAAUUAAUAUCUGCUCAACAAAAUUAAUCUUCCAUAUACAAAUCAUGUAAGGUAACUACUUGAAACAUUCUUCUGAACCUUGAAGAAGCAUAUAUCACAUACAGUAUACAUUAUCAAAACAAAACAGCAAGGAAAAGAAAGCAAGCAAUUGAGAAAUUUGAUUGCUUGAAAGAAAGAGAAAAAUCAAGCCUUCCACUUAUCUAUUGUGUAGAGGAUUGGGCCCAGUAUUGACUUUCCUUUUAUCAGUACCAAAAAUUUCAUCACCAUCCUGCACCUCCUUUCCUUUGAAUCUACCAUUUAUAGAACUGGCUGCUGCUGCAGCAGCAGCAGCUUCACUUUUAGAUCUGCUGAAUUUAUUAGCAGCACAACAUGGAGUCGUGGUAAUCUGUAAAUGUAGUAGCAUCAAUAGAAGAAGUGAAAAGCAAGCCAACCCUUUUCCCAAACCCAUUUGUUUUUUGCUAACAUUAGUCCAACUCAUAGCUAGUAUAUAUCUAGCAUGGGAUCAAUUAUAUAAUAAAUUUCUCUCCCCUGGGGGUGGGGGUUUUAAGGUGGAGUGAGAGUGAUUAUCAAUUUUAUGGAAGAAGAAGAAGAUUCUGUUUGGCUUUAUAUGUAUGAAAAGUAAAAACUAAAAAGCCUUGGAGUUUGAAGAGAAGAGGAGAGGAGGAGGAGGUUAGUCAAUGGGGUGGGAGAGGAGAGAAGAGAAGAGGAGAAGAGAAGAGAGUCAAUUUGCAUAAAUUUUGCUGCCUGCCCUCUUCUAUUUUAAAUUUGGUGCAAUGGGGUAUUCUUGGAAACUUCACUUUUUUCUUUUUCCUGAUUACAGUCUUUUUUUUUUAAUGCUGGGAAUUCUCAAUACAUAAUACAUAGAGAGAGAGAGAGAGAGAGGAGAAGAUUAAGUGUUUGUUCCUCAACUUGCGUUUUGUUUGGUGUUUUCAACUUUUUUCUCAGUCGGUGUUUGGCGUAUUUAAUUGAUUUAAAUUAUAACUAUAGUACUCCAAUGCAUCACACACUAGUAUAAUAUCUCAACAAACCCCAAGGUUAUGUUCGUUUAUAAUGAUAAUUUUUGAGAUUUUAUUAAUAUUACUUUUAAAUUACUUGUUAAUUUUAAAAAUUAAACUUGAGACUAUUAUAAUAAUUUUUAUCAUUUUGAAUUAAAAUUAACAUUUAUCUUUUAAAAAACAACCGGUGUAUCAUAUACAAUUCAUUUAUACUUGUACUACUGAAACAAUAAAUUUUUAUUUAAUUUUUUAAAUAAUACUAAACAAAACAAAUAUAAAAUAAGAUUCCCAUUCUAAAAAAGCAUAUGAGUAGAAGAGAGGGGAGGGCCUAGCUAAAGGAGUAGGAGUAUACUAGUACUAUAUUAUAUUGAAAGGGAGGGAUAGCCAUAGGGACUUGCCUUGAUUCAGGUAAGUGAGAAUGUUUCACCCUCUAUUGACUGAGAAGUAUUAUGGCAGCAUAAAAUAAAAUGCCAUCAUAUAAAUUUUAGUAUAGCAUAGGGAAAGUUACCCAAAAAGAGCUUACCUUUUGAAAAAAAGAAGAACGUAGUUGCCCAAGCCACUUAUAGAAACUUAUGCACCAAGUCUUUUGAAUGUCACAUUAAAAAAAUAAAAAAUCUUGUCUUCCUUUUUCUGUUUGGUAUUUACGGUUAUUAUGGUACAGCUGAUCAUACAUCUCAACAAUGUAUUUUUUACUCUCUUUUUUUUUUUCCACAUUAAAAGGGUAUAUAUAUGAUUGUUCAAAAUUUUAUACUACUAGCUACUAUACCCUUAGGAUAGGCUAUAGGAGACAUGAAACAAGUAAGUUUAAAUCCAAAUUAAUUAGGUGCCCAAAUAUGAGAUGAUAAAGUGAAAUUAUAUUGAAAAUUAAUUAAUGUUAAUAGACCGACCAAUGAGUAAUGGAUUUGAAAAUUAAUUAGGUGCCCAAACAAGUAAGUCUUAUUAAUGUGAAGAAAAAUGAUUUGAAAUAUGACUAUGUAGUAGUAGUAGUAGUAGUAUAAGUUGAAAGAAAGAAAGAAUGGAUUUAGUGUAGUGUGUUGUGUAGUGUAAUGGUCACUUUCUUACAAGAAAUGAUGGUGUCCCUUGUUCACUUUUUUAAUCCAAGAAGAAAAAAUUACUACCAGCAGUACAUGAAAGUCAUAAGUAUUGAUGGUAUUUUGCACCCAAAAGGUGGCCGGCCGGCCCCAAUAAUAAUAAUCCUCAUCCUCAUACAUACACUUGUACUACUACUACUACUACUACUACUACUACUACUACUAGUAUUUUUUUAAAAUUAACAAUCUAGCUGCCUUGGUGCUUCCUUUAUUAUUCAACUACCUCAUAACCAUGUUUCUUAAUCUUGCUACCAUUUUUCACUUUCACUAUUUCUUACGUCAAUUUUUUCAUCAUUUUAUCAAUAAAAAUUAAACAUAGUGAGUCAGUCAUGAUACAUACAUAUAUAUAUAUAUAUAUAUAUAUAUAUAUAUAUAUAUAUAUAUUUCAGCUAGCUUAUAUUAUUAUUAUUAUUAUUAUUAUUAUUAUUAUUAUUAUUAUUAUUAUUAUUACUAUUCCUUGUGGGUAAAAUUUAAAAAGUAGACUCUCCUCUCCUACCGCAACAUUAUAUUAAUUACUGUACAAAAUUUGAUUGUUUUCUUAACUUGCUCUUACCGCAACAAUUGAUAGAGGUUUGAAAAUUGCAACACAAGUAUAUAUAGUGCAUGGUAGUUAGUUCCCGUACAAGAUUUUAACAUAUAGUAUUACUGUACAGACGACUAGAUCUGCAUGUGUAUUUUAAAAUUGUAAUAAUUAAAUCUUGUAAUAAAAUGUAGUGAUCCUAUAAACUUUGAUAUAUAGUAUAGUCAUAAUUUUUUAUGAAUCAUGUCCAUACAAACGGACGGACAAGCGUGUGUGUAUAUAUAUAUAUAUAUAUAUAUAUAUGUCUGAGACAUGUGCUUCUGAUUUCUAAAUUGUUACAAGCUAGUACGCACUCCUCCUAUAUUAGAGCAAAACAAAAAUAUAUAAAAACAUGUUAUAGAUAUUGUUCUACACAAUGGUCUUGACUCCUUAGGGAUAUAUCGAUAGAUCUCCCCUUUGCCUUUGUGUUGGUCAAAGUCGUGGUAUUAGCUAGCUAGCUAGCAUCAUUGGCACAUCAAUUCUCUACCCCAAAUUUCUCAUUAUAGAUUUUCAAAGGGGUGGCCACCCGCAUUAAUUGGUAAUCAUGUUUAAGAAGCCCAUUAAUAUUCUACUCCUCUUUUUUUCUAAAUAAUUGAAACAAACAAAAGUUUUAGUUUUAUAAAAUUCUUCUCCCCAUAUCAUCAUUAGUUAUUAGACAAACACAACCGACCGACCAAGAUACUGAUUGACCCCAAUUUUAAUUUAUUUUUCAAUAAUUAACAACAAUAUGUAUGUAUGUGAAGUAUGAUCCAAACAACAUUUAGUGACACAUCAUUUCAAAAACAAUAAUAGAGUAUUUAUAGGGUAAGAUUUGGGCUUCGGCCUUUGGGCUUCAAAGCUUCCCCUUUUCUUGAAUAAGGGUUUUGGGGGUUUAAAAGUUUUAUCAGGAACCUAAUAUUUUAUCUAUGGAAUCUUUGGACCAAAUGAACUUGUCACUUUAUUUAUGGGCUUAUAUUUUGUACAAGGCAUUUUUCUUCGGGUCCUUUACAUAAGUAUACAAUAUUUAGAAAGUAAUUACAUUAUUAAUGCACUCAUAAAAUAUUUACACAAUUAAUACACUUUUUAUAUUUAUUUACAAUAUUAGUGCAAUUAGGAUUCCUUAAUUUAGGGAAUUAGUAUAGGAUUCAAUUCAUAAUAAUAAGGAAACCUAAAAUCAAGGAGAAAUAACUACCAUAAUUAAUAAUUCAAAUUCAAAUAUCUUGGAUCUAACAAACAAAACAAAUUCAAAUUCAAAAAUAAUAAUUAAAAUUCAAAUAUUCAAAGUUUGGCAACGUCAUCUUCCUCCUCCCCUUCGCCGGUCAUCUUCCUCCUCCCCUUCGUUACCGCUUCAACACCAUGGACGCCGGCCACAACUGCCAUUAUGACGAAGGUUGAUUUAGUCUAGAAAUUAAAAGGAGAAAAAGAUAAGUUUUAGUGCAGUUGGUAUCCAAAUAUUUAUACAAAGGUAAUCAUUUUAGUUUUUGUGGGUAACCAAGAGAAAUUUCAGUGCAGUUGGUAACCAAAACUUUCAAAAGUAACAAUUUUAAUUUUUGUUGGUUACAUUUGUAUUAAGGUUUGGCUACCAAGAAAAAAAAAUUCUAUAAUAGAUUUUUUAUAAUUAAUUGGUAACCCAAUAAAACUGAAUUGGUUACCUUUGUAUUAAGGUUUGGCUACCAACUGCAUUAUAAAAAAAAAUCUACAAUACAUUUUUUUUAAUUAAUUGGUAUCCCAAUAAAACUGAAUUGAUUACAUUUGUAUAAAGUGUUAGCUACCAACUGCACUAUUAAAUAAAAAAAUCUAUAAUAGAUUUUUUAAAAAUAAAAUAGAAACCUAAUAACACUAAAUUGGUUACCUUGGUAUGAAUGUUUAGCUACCAACUGUACUAUAAAAAAAUGCAACUAUACUAUGAAAAAUCGAUCCAAUGAGCCAACUGUACUAUGAGAAUAUUUCGAGUGAGCCAAGGUGGCGGAGGUUCCGCCAGUGGUCGCCAUACGGGGACUGGGCGAUGGUGGUGUAGUUGUAGCCCAUGUAUUUUUCCAUGGCGAGACGGGGGCGGUUGGCCAAAAUUAUGUCGUUUUUGGUGAAGCAUUCUUCGGCAGCGAAGGCGGAGUACACCACCACCACAAGGCGGGACCCGAAUUGGAGAGAGAAGAUUGGGGCGAACUUGGUGGAGAGCGUGUGUAGGGGUCCGGUGGAGUGGUGAGUCGUUGAGGAGGAGGAGGAGGUGGCCUAGUAGUGGUAGUUUUAGGAGUGGACUUGGCGGUAAACGGCAGCGGAUUUUUGAUUUUGAAAAUAAUCUGGUAGAGAGAAUUAGGAGGAAGAGAGAGAAAGAUGCGUACAAAAGUACCCAUUUUAUUUAAUUUAAUAAGUAAAUUAAUAUUAAUCCCCUAAAUUAAGGAAUCCUAAUUGCAUACUAAUUCCUUAAAUUAAGGAAUCCUAAUUGCACUAAUAUUGUAAAUAAAUAUAAAAGUGUAUUAAUUAUAAAAAUAUUUUAUAAGUGAACUAUUGUUAUAAUUAUUAUUAAAAAUAUAAUAAAAUAUGUAAUUGAUCCUUUUUCUUAGUUACUACUACUACUUCUAAAUUUUAGGCCUUUAGGGUAGCAAAUUAUAGCUUUUGAUAUUCAUACUUUAACCAUUCAUUCAUUCUUUUGAGUGAGUGCCAAAUUUUUGUUUGAUAAACUGGUGCAUACGCCCAUCAUAUCAAGAUGUCUCUCUCUAUACAUCACAAUAAUAUCAAAUCACACUGUAUAUGAGCUCUCAAUUAUUUUACUCCAUAAAUAACUGAAUGUACUGAUAAAUAACUUAAAUCAUUCUUUUAAAAAACACAAGAAAUAUCAUCCAUCAUCUUAAUCUUUUAAAAAGUAUCGUAAUUUAAUUUGAUGAUUGUUUUAAAAUAAUGAUAAUUAGACAAAUGAAUUUUAAACUCAAACCCCACUUCACCACAAUUACAUCUGAUUUGUUCUUUUUUAUUUUUCUUGUUUAGACUCCGACCCCUCCCCCUCGGGUUGGGGCCGGUCCGGUGACCUUAAUAAUUGAUACCGUCCGGUGCAAUGUAUUUUUUUUUUUAACCACAAUUAUGAGAAUAAAAAAUAAAAAAUAAUAGAGCAAAUUUGAACAAAAAAACUGUAAAAGGAAGUAUGUUUUUUAUUGAAAAAAUACCGUAAACAGUUUACAAUAUUUUUCAAUAAAAAAUGUACUUCCUUUUAUAAUUUUUUGUUCAAACUUGCUCUAUUAUUUUUUAUUCUCAUAAUUGUGAUGGUACCGGUCAUUAAGGUGUACCGGACGGCCCACAAUUACUCCCCCUCCCCGUCCUACUCUUAACGCAAAAACAUAAAAUAAUCAAAUUUAAUUUUUUCUAAAAAAGAUAUUAUAAAAUCAAAAAAGAGUAUUUUCAUUUGGGUGAUUACUGCAUUGACCUCUUUUCUAUCUCUACUCUAAGUAAACAGUAGGGCUAAGCAAGUAACUUGCUAAUGGCAUAUUCGCCUAAACCCUCUUCUUAAACCCUAUCACCAUUAGUGCCAACCCCUGAAGUCUGUUGUGUCCUCGUCUUGUACUCUUUAGUCUUUCCUCGACUAGUAAAACGGCUAAGCGUUUUAUUCCUCUGCUGAAUCGGGUCUUGAUUGAGAAAAUAACCCCUCCAUCCAAGACCGCUGCUGGAAUUUUACUCCCAGAGAAGACCGCCAAGGUUAAACUCCCUGAAACCAUCAUCAGUUCCUUCUCCUUUUUUAUAUAAUGCUGUUCUUCUUCUGAACAAUUCCAAACUUUUUCUGGGUAUUGCUUAAAAAGUGUCGAAUGGAAUGUACAUCUUCGUGAUUUGAUGAGAAGACUUGCAUAAAGAAUAAUACUCUAGGCUAAUGGGUCUAUCUUUGGCAUGUCUAAAUUACAUGAUAUGGGUAAGGCUUAAUUUAUAGAUCAGGAUUUAGUUUAGUGUCACCAAUGUAAUGGAGGGUUUUCUGUUUCUUAAAAUGUGCUUGUGUGAUUUUUUUGGGAAUCCCACUUGUUUGUUUUACAUUUAAUUGCCUGAAGUCCGUGUGUGGUUGCCGUGAAACAGUGGGAAGUGAAAAUUAAAAUUUGUACUAUCAUGUUGUGCAAAUGUAUGGUUGAGAGUUUAUAAAGUUUUUAGAUUAUUUGCUUCCCAUGUUACAUUGCAUACCAUAUGGUUGGUAGUAGUGGACUUUCCUUUGGAUGAAUUCUGAUAUGGAAUUUAUAUUUUUUAGAUAAAUAUUGGAUUUUGAUUUGCAUUUGUUAUACAUCUUUGGUUUGGAUCAUUUAGCUGAACUCCGGAAAAGUUUUUGCUGUUGGUCCUGGGCACCAUGACAGCGAGGGAAAGCUCAUUCCUGGUUGUGUGAAGGAGGGGGACACUGUUCUGUUACCUGAAUAUGGAGGAAAAGAAGUAAAGCUCGGUGACAAAGAGUAAGUAUAUUUUUGCUAAAGUGCAUUUUCCUACCAGUUUUGGUCUUUUCUUUAAACUUAUGAUUAUAUGAUUCUCCCCUAUUCGCGUUGCUUCUUCCACCUAAAAAGUUCUAAGACACGCACCCAAAAAAAACAAAGAAAAGAAAAGUAUCAAUAACACCCUGAAAUAUUAAAAGCAUCGCGAAGAUGAGUUAUGUUCUUUAAACCAACUAAAAUAGUUAUGUUUCUUUGAUCCAACUGAAUAUGAAAUUUUAGUUGUUUUAUUAUACCUUUAUUUAACCAAAGAACUAGAAAUUUUGAAGUUGAAUCUUUUCCUGCAUCAACCAAGUUUUAGAACAGUGCUCUUUGUUUCUGUACAUCGGGAUGUGGCCAAAAGCUGACCUUUGAAUCCUAAUAAUAUACACACAGCAUUUCACCAUUGCACCUAUAUGCAAUGCAUAGUUAUUGCCAUGAUUAUUCAUGUCUUAGAUAGUUGAGAGUGAGUGAGAGGUGUCUUAGAAAAUGCUUGUGUUUUUAUGGGAAUUAUGGUGUGUCAACGGGUGUCACCUCCAUUUCACCGUUACAAACACAUAGGAAUUUAAAUUUAGCUAUUACUCGUAUUAACUAAUUCAGAAUCAUAGGAAAGUUAAUGUGCAACUAAGUGUCCUUGCGGAAACCACCAAGUACUACAAGGCCUCGUUUGUGAGCACCAUGUGUCUUUGUCCAAGUUACCCAUUUUGGCUUCGAAAUAUCGAAAAUGUACCCAGCAAGUAUGUGUGACGUCCCAAAAUAGGUAUACAUCACCUAUUCUUAGUCGCCAAAUACAUGGUACAAAAUACAAAUACAAUCUUUAAUAUACAACAAGAAAGCUGUGAGUUUUAAUACAAAUAUUGUCUUCUAGACAAUAUCCACUCUCAGAAUAAGUCCUCAUUACAUUUCUUGUCACACUAUUUAACAGAAUAGUGAGGACUACUAAUACUAUCAUCUGGACCGUCACUCCGUUCCCCGACUAGUCCCGGCUACGUUUUCAUUUCUUGAAGAGAACAGUGAAAGAAAGGGUGAGCUCAACUAGCCCAGUAAAGAAUAUCAUGACUUAAGAUAAUUAAAUUAUUAAAAGAAUUCAGAUAUUUAGAACAUAUGGUAAAAGAUAAAAGUUUUCAACCAUAAUAGCAGCGGAAUCAACAAUCCAUUAGAAGAGUUAAGUAGAACAUAAUGUCUACUAUCUCCUCUAGAUUAAAGGUCCAUCGUUAAUAUUUCAUUCCUGUAAUACUCAUCAACAGUUCUUUGUUAUACCUAAGACAAAGAGAACUCUCAUCACCUGUCUUCACCUGAACCACCACAAAUUAUAAUUAAAUUCACAAUUCGUAUUUAUAUAAUCAGAUAAAUCAACAGUUCAUACAACUGUAAAACCAAUAACCAACAGUCCAUCUUUGCACUACAGGCCAAAGAUAUACAACUGUAAAACCAAUAAUGCUGAGACUCAGCUUAAUAGUAUCACGACUACGAAUUAUCCAUGCACUACGGGCCAAGGAUAUUCGUGUUUUCAAUUAUGGUCAUGAUUAUACCGAAUAAUCCCUGGUUAUAAUCAUACCAAGUCUAUCUAUGCACUACGAGCCAAAGAUGACUUUUACCACAUCAUUUGUAACAUUACGGUCAUGAUUAUACCGAAUAAUCCCUGGUCAUAAUCAUACCAAGUCCAUCUAUGCACUACUGGCCAUAGACGACUUUCAACACAAUAUAAGCAUGAGAAUGAUGACAAUGAUAUAUAUAAUGAAUAAACAUAAAUCAUCAGAAUAAUAAGAUAACAUAGAUCUUAGUGAUUUUCAACUUAAUUAUCCAGAGUCCAAAUUGAUAACAUAAUAAUAGAUGAAGCACAAACUAUUAAGUAUAUUCUAAUCCUUUCAGGACUUUUCACCAUUUAAUGAUAAACUGAAUAAACGAAUAAUAAUAUCUUACCAUAAUAUGAAAGAAAAUGAUAUUCUUUUUAUCAUAAAAAUGAUACCCUCUUACCACAAUAAUGAUAUCCCUUACCUUAGCAUGUGACUUGAUUCUGCUUUCUGUGAAAUUGAUCAACUUAAACAAUGCUUGCAUUCUUUAUCUACACUUGCAGUAACAUUACACUCAAUAGAAAUACUCACAAUAUUAUACUCACAAUAUUGAAGAAAAAGAAUUCUAUAUUUUUAGUGUAGUGAUGGUGUGUGUUUAGUUACUCAACCGAGCAACCUAUUUAUACUAAAAAUUUAGUAAACAACUGCCACACCUGCUUUGACAAAAUAACCAAAUGGGGUAUAAAAUAAUGGUAGUGGAAUUUAUGGUCCCACAAAGAAAAUUAAAUCAACUUGUACACGUUUUAACAAAAUUUGUUCAAUAAUAGAGUUGUGGUCCAUACUACUUUAGAAAAAGUAGAGUGUCGGCAAGUCCUGCCAAACAUACUUUUGUAAAAAGAAAAUAAUUGAACAAACAUCUCUAUAUUGUACUUAUCUUUAAUCAACACCUUUUAUUCAUCAAUUAUUUACACAUUUUAAAUCUUUCAACAAUUAUACACAAUUAUUUAUUAAAACUCACAAUACUGUCAACUGGUUUAAUUAUAUCAUAUCAAAUAAUAUGAGUCACUGUGCAAUAACUAUGACAAUUAUUGAAUAAAAGACUGAUUGACUUCUUACGUAAUUAAGAAUCAAUAAUAUAAAUAACUGUGCAAUAACUACUGUGACAAUUAUUGAAUAAAAUACUGAGUGGCUUCUUACGUAAGAAUCAAAUCAAUAUCUUUAAAUUUUUAUUAAAAGUAAGGAUCAACAUCAAAUCAUAUGUAUCUCGAAUAACAUAUAAACCAACUAAUAAUUCAUUAUUCAUUUAAGUUGUCUUUAUUUAUCGUAUAAAAUCAUUAUUCAUAUUCCAAAAUUUUAGAAGUGAAUAAUAAAACUUGAGAAAUAUACAACCUCAUAUAUGACAAUCUAUUAUUCUGAUAUUAUCACCAUUUUUACUUUAACAAAAAUAUUAUUUUUGUUUUUAUCAUAACUCAUUCGUUACUAGUGCGUUUACAUCCCGACACCUCAUGAGCUUACUAACACUUCUAAAAUAUUUUAAAAAAAUAUGAUUCUGAAUUUUCCAAACAAAUUUCAUAUUUUUCAGAUUAUCUAACAAUUUUCUAUAAUUAUUUCUAUUUAUAAAAAAUAUCAUUUAAUAGCUUCAAAAUAGAAAUACUAACUUUACAUACUUUUAUAUCAUUAAAACAUUAUCAAUAUUAAUCUUACAUUAUUAUAAUAUUUUUCAGCAAAAAUCAUAAUUUUCCACCAUUCAUAGAAUUUUCUAUGAAUUUCUUCUAUUUUCAAACUAACUAUAAAUAGUUUAAAAAUAUAAUAAUUACUUCUGCUUUUCAAUAAUUUAUCAAAAUUUUACAGAAAUUCUAAGAUGAUAUUAUAAGCAUUCUGUAAAAAUAUUUCAACCAAAAUAAUUUUUCUGUUAAAUUAAUUAUAAACUCCAAUAUUCAGAAAUUUCAAUAAUUCACAAUAAUUAGCACUUUUAUCAGAAAAAAAUACAGAUCUUAUGUCCUUCCAUGUAAAAUUUAAUUCUCUACAACUUUUUAGAAGAAAGUUUUCCCAAAUUUUGACUCUAACAUAGAGAGAAAGGCUUACCGAAAUAUUCUGUUUGAUAAUUUUCGAACCAGCCACCUUACGAAAUUCACAACAGAUUAUAUAUUAAUCUUUAAUGGUUCAAAAUUUGUGGACAUAUACUCAACUUAUAUAUGCAUAACAUAUCCGAAAAUCACAACGAUCCAACGGUCGGAUUAAAAAUUAUAACUCACGCAAUAAAGCUUAAUAAAACUGAUUUUUUGGACUAUAAGUUCUUCGGACCAAUUUCACUCAAACUGUCACCACGAAGAAUCUACAAAGAAUUUUUGGGUGAUUCAAAUUUCUGCAUUUAGCUUACUUCCAUGGCUUUAUUUUGAUAUAUAGCUCAUCUCCUAACUCAUUAUACACAAAGAGUUAUGGAUUUUACAAAAUCAAGUAGUAAACUAAUUUUUAUGAAAAUUUCCAGAUUUUUCUUUUCAUUUGAUUUCUUGAUUUCUCUUACUUGAUUCAUGCUUAUACAAGUUUAAAACAUACAAUACAUACCUAAGUAUGUACUCUUUACAUAAAAUCCAUAUAAACUAAAAUCUAAGAAUAAAUCAAAGAUUUUUUUAGAAAUACCUUUUCUUCUUCUCCUUCUUUCUCUCUUCUCUUCCUUCCUCUCUCUCUCUCUCUCUCUCUCUCUCUCUCUCUCAUUCUUCUGAUUUCCCGUGACUAACAAAAUGGGUGGGAGUACUUCAUAUUUUUCUCGUUCCUUUUAUUUUGUUUUCUAUCUUUUCUCUCUCUCUCUUUUUCUUCCUCUUUUCCCUUAUUUUCUUCCUUUCCUUUUCUCUUUUCUUCUACCUAUUUUGUCUACGGGAGGAAGUGAGAAAAUGCAAAUGUAAAGUGCUGAACAUUUGGCCUACUUAGCCAAAAUAAAUGGCCAACAUCCUUGCCCCACCAAUAAAAGAA